AGUCCUCCGCCGCGACUGUCUGUUCGUGGGUUUGAAUGUAUCUUUGCGAUAAACAAACUACUGGACGGUUUCAGUUCGAUUUUCAUGCGGUUUUCACCUAUCAAUAGAGUGAUUCUUGAGGAAGGUUUACGUAUAUAAUUUGUUGACUAUAGUUCGUUUUUUUUAGCAUUAGAAAGAACUUGCAAGAAGGUAAGCGAUUUUGACAUGUCUUUUAAUUGAAAAACGCUUUUUAAAAUUCAAAAACUAUUACUGAUGAAAGCAGAAGAAUAUAAAUGAUCGUAUUAGAUUCAUAAUUGUUACAUAUUUGCCGUAACUUAUUUUUAAAAAGACACAUCAAGAUUGUUUACCUAAUUUCUAAUGCUAAAAAAAACGAACUAUAGUGCGAAGCCGGUCGCUAGUUAUUUAAUAAAAUAUUAUAUUGUGAUUUUUAUAUUUUUCUUAUAAAAUUCACAAUUUCACUUCAACAAUUCUUCAUUUUUCUAUUAAUUCUCAGACUCCGGCACGGUUAGAAAGUUGGAAAAAGUCGUUAGGAAUUGCAUUAAAAGCAAAUGAUUAUAUUUGCCAUCUUCAUUUUAAAGAAGAAAAUAUAAAUAUGUACGAAAAGUUAACUAUUAAAGGAGAGCUCAAAUAUAUUCCUACACAAAGAAAAACGCUUAAAGAAGAAGCUGUGCCCACGAUUGAGCAUCAGUUUAUUCCCAUUCCCGAACAUGAACUCCAAGCCAAUACUAUUCACAUAGAGGAAUCUUUCGAACCAUACCCCAAUCAACCUAAGGACGAGCAGCAACAACAAAUCAAUGCCGAGCAACAGGAAUUAUCAGAAGAUCAAAAUGAUUCUAAUAAUUUAAUGGAUUAUGAAAUGAUACAACAGGACUUUGCGGAACCAUUGUUUAGUCAAUAUCAGGAUACUAAUGUAACAAUAAAUCCAAUAGAGAAUUUUAAAAGUAAGUUUCGGGCAUUUUCGUUGUUGCCGCCUUUUUGGCUACAUGCAGAAAAUCCUAAUGGGCUGGUAUUUAUGCGAAUGGAUCCAAAAACUCAGAAGAUUAAACAUCAUAUACGUUUAAACGAUGAUCUAACUGUCACUGUAAUUUUUCCCAAUAAUGAACAAUUGCCACUAAAGGAGAAAAUUAAUUCAUAUGACAACACCUACGAUUACUUAAAAUCGGUUGAAAGAUGGCCUUUGUGCGUUGGUACUCAGAUUGACGACAAUAAAUUUUGUAAAGGUGUGAUUAUUGGUGAUGAUACUUACGAAAGAAAUCAACAGUACCCAAGAUGUAAAUCUUGUCGAAUAUUACGAAAUCGUUUGCAGAACCGUAAUUCCACUUCAACUCUAUUACAAAAAAUGGCAGAAGCAAAACGGCGCGCUUCAAAUCUUGUACAUAAAUGCAAGCGUCUGAAGAGGACGAAUAUCCAAUUAAGAGAGAAAAUUUCCUUGGCUAAGGCGCAGUGUGCAAAGAAAUCGGAUACCGUAGUACAAGCAUCUAUUUCAAAACUACCUGAAGAAUUUCAAAAUGCCGUGAGAUCAUGUUUUGAAGCCGCGAAAAAAAAUAAUACAAAAGGUCGUCGAUAUACGUUAGAAUGGAUUUAUGAGUGCAUGUUGAUACGUAUAAAAAGCAGGAAUACGUAUGAAUUUAUACGUAAAAGAAAUAUUUUACCCCUUCCUUCUGUACAAACUUUAAAUAAGUAUCUCAGCAAAAUCAGCUGUUCUGCAUAUGGAUUCCAAUCCUCUACUUUCUUUAGUUUAAAAGAAAGAUGUGAGGCGAUGAAGAAGGAGAAACGAGGAGUUAUUUUAGUGGAUGAAAUGAAAUUAAGUGAAGGCGUUUAUUUUGAUUCUCAAACCAUGAAAUUUAAUGGUUUUGUUGACCUGGGGCAACACACUCCAGAUAAUUUAAAAAAUACAACAGCGGACCAUGCUUUGGUGUUCAAGUUUGUGCCUUUUCGAGACCCCUUACGGAACUGUGAAAAAAAGACAUUGGGAAGCGGUAUUAGAGGAAGAGAAUUAUCGUCAGCCUAACUUAAAAAUCGCUUACAAGUUAACACCAGCGCAUUUGAAACCGAAAGGUUUUCAAGUAAUGAAUGUUCCUCUUGCAACUGAAGUAUGUGUUUGGUCAUGAAAUUUCGGUCGCCAUGGCUCACUAUCAACCCUAUUGCGAGGAAUUGAAGGAUUCAACUGCAACACAAAAAUUUAUUGAUCUUGUAUUCAAUUUGAUACAAGCUUUGUCUUCGCGUAUACCAAGAGAUGCUCUGUACGUGAAUGAAAAUUGCAGACGAAGAAAGGCAAUCCAGGAAUUUUUAGAAUUCCUUGCAGACUGGGAAAAGCUCGAAAAAAAAAUACCUGUGUCAAGGAGCACGUUAACUGGAUUAAAAGUAACUUGUAAAGUUUUGUGAUACAACAAAUUGUAGACUUGUGAUACAAUUUACAUAUUUGUAAGAAUUUUCCACUACAAAUUUGUUACUUGUGGUACGCACAUUUGUAUUAUUACAAACUUGUAACUUGACACUUGUAAAAUUGUAAUUGUAAGUUUUGUGGGAUAGGCCACUGUCCUUACAUGCCUGUUGCAAAGUUAGUACUAUUAUAAAUGCAAAAGUGUGUCUGUUACCUCUUCACGCUUAAACCGCUGAACCAAUUUAGAUAAAAUUAUGGAGAUAGUUUGAGACCCGAGGUCCUAUAUUUUUUAUUGAAUAAUAAUUUUGACUUGUUUUCAGAGAUUUUUCUCCGUCAUGAGAUAUUCGUGUGGAGGAAACGAUCACCCUGAUCCCAAAAUGUUUGCACAAGCGAUUGGCGUCUUGUUUUUCCCUAAUACGCCCUCCGAAAGGUUGUAACGUUUCCGGCAAAGAUUUGCUGAAGAACUUACUAGGAGCAAAGGAUAUGGUAACUGGUUCAAACGAGGCUAAGCAAGCAUGGCUGGAAAGCCUCGACCAUAUACUAGAUAAUGGUGAACCAUUGAUUGAUGGUUAUGAAGACCAUGACUACAACGAGGCUGUCACCAGUGACGCGGUGCAGUCUUACAUUGCUGGGUACAUCGUCCGCAAAUUGCGAAAAAUCGUAAAAUGCAAUAAUUGUUUGAAACUCAUACAAAUGAGUCCCAAUGAGGGAAAAAUGUUAAUGAGAAACGACGUAAUCGAUAAAAUGGAUUUAUACGGCGGGUUAAUUUAUGCUAGUGACGAUCUAUUCAAUCUGACCAAAAUGAUAGAGAAAUGUGUGUUAAGAGCAAUAAGCAAAGCUUUAACCAAUAUGGAGACGAUCAGUGAAAU